GGCGCGGGGACCGGGCUGUCUGAGGCGCGCGCCGCGCUGGGGCUCGCGCUCUACCUGAUCGCGCUGCGGACGCUGGUGCAGCUCUCGCUGCAGCAGCUCGUGCUACGCGGGGCCGCUGGACACCGCGGGGAGUUUGACGCGCUCCAAGCCAGGGAUUAUCUUGAACACAUAACCUCCAUUGGCCCCAGGACUACAGGAAGUCCAGAAAAUGAAAUUCUGACCGUGCACUACCUUUUGGAACAGAUUAAACUGAUUGAAGUGCAAAGCAACAGCCUUCAUAAGAUUUCAGUAGAUGUACAACGGCCCACAGGCUCUUUUAGCAUUGAUUUCUUGGGAGGUUUUACAAGCUAUUAUGACAACAUCACCAAUAUUGUGGUAAAGCUGGAACCCAGAGAUGGAGCCCAGCAUGCUGUCUUGGCUAAUUGUCAUUUUGACUCAGUAGCAAACUCACCAGGCCAGUCAUGGUUUCAUUACACAGCACCCCUGGGCUAGCUUGAUUCGUGCAUUCAUUAACCUAGAGGCAGCAGGUGUAGGAGGGAAAGAACUUGUAUUCCAAACAGGUCCUGAAAAUCCUUGGUUGGUUCAAGCUUAUGUUUCAGCAGCUAAACACCCUUUUGCUUCUGUGGUGGCUCAGGAGGUUUUCCAGAGUGGAAUCAUUCCUUCAGAUACUGACUUUCGUAUCUACAGGGAUUUUGGGAACAUUCCAGGAAUAGACUUAGCUUUUAUUGAGAAUGGAUACAUUUAUCACACCAAGUAUGACACAGCGGACAGAAUUCUAACAGAUUCCAUUCAGAGAGCAGGUGACAACAUUUUAGCAGUUCUUAAGCAUCUAGCUACAUCUGAUAUGCUGGCUGCUGCUUCUAAGUAUCGACAUGGAAAUGUGGUCUUCUUUGAUGUGCUGGGCCUGUUUGUCAUUGCCUACCCCUCUCGUAUUGGCUCAAUCAUAAACUACAUGGUGGUAAUGGGGGUUGUUUUGUACCUGGGCAAAAAAUUGUUGCAGCCCAAACAUAAGACUGGUAACUACAAGAAGGACUUCUUGUGUGGACUUGGCAUCACUCUGAUUAGCUGGUUCACUAGCCUUGUUACCGUUCUCAUUAUAGCAGUGUUCAUCUCUCUUAUUGGACAGUCUCUCUCAUGGUAUAACCACUUCUAUGUCUCCGUUUGUCUGUAUGGAACUGCAACUGUAGCCAAAAUAAUACUUAUACAUACUCUUGCGAAAAGAUUUUAUUACAUGAAUGCCAGUGACCAGUAUCUGGGAGAAGUAUUUUUUGACAUUUCGCUGUUUGUCCAUUGCUGUUUUCUUGUUACCCUCACUUACCAAGGACUUUGCUCGGCGUUUAUUAGUGCUGUCUGGGUAGCAUUCCCAUUGCUCACAAAGCUCUGUGUGCAUAAGGACUUCAAGCAGCAUGGUGCCCAAGGAAAAUUUAUUGCUUUUUACCUUUUGGGGAUGUUUAUUCCUUAUCUUUAUGCAUUGUACCUCAUCUGGGCAGUAUUUGAGAUGUUUACCCCUAUCCUCGGGAGAAGUGGUUCGGAAAUCCCACCGGAUGUUGUGCUGGCAUCCAUUUUGGCUGGUUGUACAAUGAUUCUCUCUUCCUAUUUUAUUAACUUCAUCUACCUUGCCAAGAGCACAAAAAAAACCAUGCUAACUUUAACUUUGGUAUGUGCAAUUACAUUCCUCCUUGUUUGCAGUGGAACAUUUUUUCCAUAUAGCUCCAAUCCUGCUAAUCCGAAGCCAAAGAGAGUGUUUCUUCAGCAUAUGACUAGAACAUUCCAUGACUUGGAAGGAAAUGCAGUUAAACGGGACUCUGGAAUAUGGAUCAAUGGGUUUGAUUAUACUGGAAUUUCUCACAUAACCCCUCACAUUCCUGAGAUCAAUGAUAGUAUCCGAGCUCACUGUGAGGAGAAUGCACCUCUUUGUGGUUUUCCUUGGUAUCUUCCAGUGCACUUUCUGAUCAGGAAAAACUGGUAUCUUCCUGCCCCAGAAGUUUCUCCAAGAAAUCCUCCUCAUUUCCGACUCAUAUCCAAAGAACAGACACCUUGGGAUUCUAUAAAAUUGACUUUCGAAGCAACAGGACCAAGCCAUAUGUCCUUCUAUGUUCGAGCCCACAAAGGGUCAACACUUUCUCAGUGGUCUCUUGGCAAUGGCACCCCAGUCACAAGUAAAGGAGGAGACUACUUUGUCUUUUACUCCCAUGGACUCCAGGCCUCUGCAUGGCAGUUCUGGAUAGAAGUGCAGGUUUCAGAAGAACAUCCUGAAGGAAUGGUCACUGUGGCCAUUGCUGCCCACUAUCUAUCUGGGGAAGACAAGAGAUCCCCUCAACUGGAUGCUCUGAAGGAAAAGUUCCCAGAUUGGACAUUUCCCUCUGCCUGGGUGUGCACCUAUGAUCUCUUUGUAUUUUAAUCUUGUGGAUGAGCUCUAAGUACAUGCCCAGUGGAUACUCCAUGUGACAUGGUUUCUCCCUAUGUUACGUGGAUGUUUGUAACGUAAGUCAAUGAAUUUUAAUGAUCAUAUGUUCAAAGAGCUUUCUGGGUUAACACUUUUCAGGGCCAAGCACUAUAAGGGUUUAGCUGUGGCACAAUGAUGCAUGGCCUGUUGACACUUGAAAAUGCCAGUCUUUUGGCACUUAAGCACAUGUGGGUACUGCCACCACACACACGUCAUUUCAUAUGACCUUAAGGACAAAAGCCAACAAACCACUUCAAUAGCUGUCCCUUUAGGAUCAAGAAAGAUGUACACUGUCAGACCAUUGUUAAUGAGACAAAAGUUGUUUCCAAUUUAAGCCCCAAAACCAUUUGUUGUAUUAGUGGAUGGUGGGUAAAAUAUCAUUCACUGAGGUAAUGAUUCCCCUUGAGAAUAUAACUCUGUGUAGGUCACUGCAAAGUGAUUGCCAUAGGGCUGGGAGAGAAGCAUUGCACUCUUGAGGCUGUAGCCUGUGUCAAGCUGUUUCUUCAGGCAGCCUCUCAAAUGUGCUUUGUCUCUCUGUGCUGAGGCCUGGACCCUGUGCUGAGCUGGUGACUCACUGUCCUGACAAGUGGACACUCAGAUCCACUGCUGUGCUGCUUUCCUGAGGUGGUUUUCUAUACCUGUUUUCCUCUGAAACAUGUCUGUUACUCCUCUCCAUCUUACCAAGUUGAAAAGGGGAAUAUUUGGCCACAUACCCCUGUUUUUCGUAGGUUCUUUUGGUUCAGAAUAUUGUUUGUGCCAGUACAUGACCUUAACUUCCUUCUCAGAGCACUAAGCUGCCAUCUGGGCUAUUCUGGGGUAGAAGGCAGGCUGGGAGUGGUGGGCAUUUUAUAAAUAUUUAUUCUCUUUUGUUUCAUAGGAGUCUUGUGUUAUACAAGGUUAAUCCUUUAUGGUAUAAUCUUAUUGAUGCACUGGGCCUAUCUUUUUGUUUUCCAGCCAGUUGAAUAGAUUAGUUUUUCUCAGUAACUUACUAUCCAGCAGACUGGCUUUCCUGAGACUUGAGGUUGUGGCUUAUACUGGAAUGAGACCACUGUACGUGUAGGUGGUUCAGAUCCUGUGUAAUGGCAGCAUGAGGACUUAAAGGUGGUUUUCAUUUUGAAGAUGGCUACGUAGCUUGUAAGGUGUAUCACAGCAGUACCUCUCAUGGCUUUUUGGUUCCAGCAGUGAGGGCGUUGGUGAGAUCCAUGGUAAACUGUGCAAGCUUUCUUUUUAUCAUUAGGAAAUGUGAAACGUUGGACAAAGUUUGAGUUUUAACAAGGACAAAAAGUUGAAAGAAAAGGCACAGUUAACAAAAAAGGGUAGCUAGAUUUAUCCUGGGUGAUGGAGGAAAUGAGAGAGGAAUGCUCUUGAAAGGUGGUCUGUGGAUCUGUCUGAAUAGAAAGAGCAUAAUAAGUGUGCAUCGCAGGAGAAAACGUCCUUGAAACUGCUUGUCUCAUGUGUAUGAUGUGCUUUUUAAAUCAUGCUCCUCAUUGCCUGCCUAAUCUGUGACUCCCUAAAAGCUAACUGGGCCCAUGUAGAUAGGGCUGCAGCCAGAGCUGAAUAACAUGUUAGGCUGACACAUGUAUCAGCACUGCACACUGGAAUCAUUGCUCUUCCUGGACUUUGUAGAAAAGAGUCUGGCUCCUGCUACUUUUAUCUGUCAGGUAGCACAUAAGGUUUGCAGGGUUUAUAUCUUGUAUAGAAUCACAGUUGUGGAGAAAAAGUAAUAAUUUCUCAAUGAAUUUUAAAAAUGGGCCUAUUUUCUAUCCCCGUGGUUAAUCUGAUAUAAUUAGUGUUCCCUGUGAAUUCCCCCACUUUGGGAAGGAUGCCUUUACUCUUUAUCAGUAAUAAGUUAUAACUGUUUUCAUACUGCCUUAGGGUUAUUUCCCUGUGUAAACCAUUGUCGUUUGUUUUGGUUUUCUUUAGCAUUAUGAAGCUUUGGUGUUGUACAAGGUCAGUAAUAAGACGCUCACUAGUCUCAGGGCUUGUGUAAUAUUUUGGGAGGUCAUUUAAAUGCCAGAAAUGGUCAAGCAAUUAUACACAGUAUUUAUGACUCUCUUAAGCACACCGUUUGUCUGUCACAUUAGUAGCUUCUGAGAUUAAAAAAAAUUUUUUAAGAGUGAUCAUUUAAACAGUUUCUAAACGGUCUUUUUAAGCUCUAACAAAGUCACUAACAAAUGCAUUAUUUUCUACAGAAUUAAAUGUUAGUAGUACAGUACUGCAUAUUCAGGGAAAAAGUGUGAAGAAUUAUGAUUUCAAAGUAGUUCGUUCUUGUGUUUGACCUAAGAAUGAUUGUCGCAUGAAGUGUUUGUUUUUACAGUUUAGCAUAUAUAAACAAACAUGAUGGGAUUCCUUAAGAUGUUACCACCAAGGGGGCCACAAGCCAGCCUGCUGUCUCAGGAAGCUGUAGAAGGAGUGUUUGUCAAUUUCUUGUCACUGGUUUGCUGACUUACUGAGGAUUAAUUGUUGCCUUACAAUGUUACUGAAAUAAACUGUUUAAUAUAC
rnacentral:sRNA from 1 species